GGGGCUGCACUGGUUUCGACAUGGGUUCGGACGCGUGGCAGGGCAUGUCGAGGUUCUGUUACCUCGUAAAACCGCAGAAAAAAACUAACUGCAAACGACGAACGUUUCGCACUCGCCGCUUAAUCCGGUGAGCCUUGCAACAGUUGGCCGAUAGGCUGGGUUAGGGGGUCGCAAUACCUCCUAGCUGCAAGGGAAUACAUAUGGGCUGGUCUACCAUCGUGCAUCUUGAUGGCGGACGAGAUCUAAGGAUGCUGGUUGGACAGGAAGCGUGUCGCUGCGCGUUUUGUCUGACGAGAUACAAAUCAGACGACUACACAUGUAGAACUGUACGAAAAAGGCUUGUGGACGCGGGUUCAAAUCCCGCCAGCUCCACCA
rnacentral:tmRNA from 1 species